rnacentral:rRNA from 1 species
AGAGUUUGAUCCUGGCUCAGGAUGAACGCUAGCGACAGGCCUAACACAUGCAAGUCGAGGGGUAACAGAUAUAAAGCUUGCUUUAUAUGCUGACGACCGGCGCACGGGUGAGUAACACGUAUGCAACCUACCUUUUACAGGAGAAUAACCCAGAGAAAUUUGGACUAAUACUCCAUAAUGUUUUUGUAUCGCAUGAUAUGAGAAUUAAAGUUCCGGCGGUAAAAGAUGGGCAUGCGUCCUAUUAGUUAGUUGGUAAGGUAACGGCUUACCAAGGCUAUGAUAGGUAGGGGUUCUGAGAGGAUAAUCCCCCACAUUGGUACUGAGACACGGACCAAACUCCUACGGGAGGCAGCAGUGAGGAAUAUUGGUCAAUGGCCGCAAGGCUGAACCAGCCAUGUCGCGUGAAGGAUGACUGCCCUAUGGGUUGUAAACUUCUUUUGUAUGGGAAGAAAGGUAUCUACGAGUAGAUAUUUGCCGGACCAUACGAAUAAGAUCGGC